GCACAGCUUGGUCAAGGUCUGUGCACCAGACGUUCUAUAACCGGCUGGUGCAAACAGGAAUGCUAGCCAUCUUGCAAAACAACAACAACAACAGCCCUGUUCCACAUAAAUUUCAUCCUAACUCAAAGAGCUUCUAGGACGAGGGCUGCCAAUGUUAAGGAUAAUGGUUUAAUUUCCUGAAAUGUUGCUUAUGUUGCAUUGGUGUGUGUUUAUUUAUUUAUUUAUUGCAUGGGGUUCUUCCUUUGGCAACAGCUCUCUCAUGUGAUUGGCUGGCUGUGAGUCACAUGAGAGAGCCAUUCCAUUCUGUUGUGACUGUUAUUCAAGUAACUGUCGUUUUUAACUGUUUUCUGUUCUCCUUUCUCUCUGUGUGUGUGGGAGAAUGGCUGCUGAGUUUGGCUUCUCUGGAUGAUGCUGAGGGCAAUGCGGUGUCGGUGUGCUCUGUCUGGGUUGAAGCAGACAGAGGAAGAUCCCUAAAUGUUAACAGGGAGGAGAAACAUGUGCUCUUUCUAUAAGGAACGAACACAACUAAAUAUCCAGGGUCUCCUGAGUAAGAAGCAGGAAAGAGAAAAUUUCCCAGGGUGCGAGAAUGAGGGAGGAAAUGGAAGCUCCCAGGCAAGAGUUGGGAGAGUUCACCUUUCUCUGUGUGGGACAAGCUAUGAUUUAUCUGUGAAAGAGGACUUUGUAUUCUUUUUUCUCUCUUUUUGUAUGUUUGUGUUUAGUUAUUUUAUUGUAAUGUCUUAAUAAAGCUUUAUAAAAUAGAAAUAAAAAUACCCAGGGUCUCUUCUACCUUAUCAGUUUCUAUAUGGCCUGUACUGCACUGAAAUUCUAUAUGUGUUGACACAUAAGUAAUGUGAAUUCAAGGUUUGUUAGUGAACUAAUAAUUUUGAUGGGAAAUUGUUGAAGUAGGCAUGGUGUAUAUAUUCAAUGAUUCUGCACUGGGUACGGCAAUGAUUGGCUAAACUGUCCUUGCAUCACAGAAGGGCUGAAUAGGAAAAGGAGCGUUCAGAAGCAGCACUAAAAGAGGCUUAGAGAAUCUCAGGCUACAGGGCCAAAUGUGGUCCUCUAUUUGGCCUUUGUGACUCUAUGCUUCAUCUCAUCCCCAAUACACACUUCUUACAAGUUUUGCCUGGCUGGAAAAUUUCCUUGCUAGGAUGGAUCAGCAGCAGCUGAUCUGAAGUUAUGGUGAAGGAAAGCAACGAAGUUUCUCCCCUAUCAAAUGUUUAAUUUGUUUGUUUGCUUUUAAAGCUGGGGGUGGGGAAUAAAAAGAGGGGCACAGCUAUACAAGAGGAAGAAAGAAGAAGAAGAAGAGGAGGAGGAGGAGGAGGAGGUGGAGGAGGAGGAGUUUGGAUUUGUUAUCCCGCUUUAUCACUACCCUAAGGAGUCUCAAAGCGGAUAACAAUCUCCUUUCCCUUCCUCCCCCACAACAAACACUCUGUGAGUUGAGUGAUGAUGAGAGACUUCAGAGAAGUGUGACCAGCCCAAGGUCACCCAGCAGCUGCAUGUGGAGGAGCGGGGAAGCAACCCGGUUCACCAGAUUACGAGUCCACCACUCUUAACCACUACACCACACUGGCUCUACAAGACUACAGAGAGGCAUGCAGAUGGAUUGCAGCCUUUUGCAGAAGGGUCAUACUUAGGGUUGCCACAAAAAUUGUUGAGUUUUUUUUUAGGGAAACCCCCAGAGAUAGUGAUUUUAAGCUUUUGGAGCUUUUUUUUCAUCACGUUGCCAUACCUCCGGGUUUUCCCUGACAUUUUGCCGAUUCAGCAAGAUUCCCCCCAGACACUUCCACCCGAAAAGCAGGACAUGUCAGGGAUUUUCCUGACAUGGCAAGCCUAGUCACACCUGUUGCCCUGAACUCUUUUGCUUUUGGUUCUACCCAUCCCUGGCAUCUGUCCCCCAGAAGGUUGCCCAUGAGGGAAAGAGGCCCUCGGACUGAGAGAUGUUUCUGUCGGAGCUUCCGUACGACCAAACUGAAAUAGCUCUCCUCCUCUUCAUACUUCGGAACCCAUCAGGCUCUCCUCCUCCGACAGUGAUUAACGACUUAAGCCUUUGAUGAGGCUUCAGGCACGCUUCCGAUUCCACAGAGUAUCCAAACAGCAGAAGGAGCUGGAAAUAUGUGCUACAUCGCUAUGUUUAUUUCUAACUAUGCAGGACAGAAAAGAAUAUGCAUCUGCUCUCUGUGAGAGUCAGUGAACAACUGGAACAAAGCAACAUGAAACCAGUAACAUGAACGUCCGUCUCCCGUCUCCCAUCUCCCGUGACACUUCCAACAGUCUGGAAUGUAAACAGAGUCUUGUGACUCCAAAAACUGCACAGUGACAUAACAGAAACCUAACAGUUUCCUCCAACUGC
ensembl:lncRNA